UGUAGCCUUCAGAGCUUUUGAUGUCGCAGAUACUGCAUCAGGAACUGAUUGGGGAAUAAUCAUGUACCAUCAGUUCCUAAUGCAUUGCCUUCAGCAUCUAAACAAACAUCAAUUAUGUU
rnacentral:pre_miRNA from 11 species